AGGAGAAGGAGGGCAGCCGACGGUAGCCGUUCGCGCGGCAGCUGAGGAAAGUCCCCUCUCCAGAGAAAGGUGGUCUGCUUAAACGCAGGGGGGCGAGAGCCCCGGCAAGGGCGCAGAAACGACACAGCCCGGGCGCAGUGUGAUUCGGAAGCCGAUGACGUUUCCCGGGAUAUGAUGAAACGGCGACACCCCACCGGAGCAAGUCCAAAAAGCUGGCAAUUCUCAAUUCCGGCAGGUAGGACGCAUGAGUCGAAUGCUGCCUGAAACAGAAAGGGGCUUACUACCUUCACCU
rnacentral:RNase_P_RNA from 2 species